UACGUAGGGUGCAAGCGUUAAUCGGAAUACUGGGCGUAAAGCGUGCGCAGGCGGUUAUGUAGGACAGGUGUGAAAUCCCAGGGCUCAACCUUGGAACUGCAUUUGUGACUGCAUAGCUAGAGUACGGUAGAGGGGGAUGGAAUUCCGCGUGUAGCAGUGAAGUGCGUAGAUAUGCGGAGGAACACCGAUGGCGAAGGCAAUCCCCUGGACCUGUACUGACGCUCAUGCACGAAAGCGUGGGGAGCAAACAGG
rnacentral:rRNA from 1 species